rnacentral:rRNA from 1 species
UAAUACAUGCAAGUAGAACGCUGACUACUUUAGCUUGCUAGAGUAGAAGGAGUUGCGAACGGGUGAGUAACGCGUAGGUAACCUGCCUACUAGCGGGGGAUAACUAUUGGAAACGAUAGCUAAUACCGCAUAACAGUGUUUAACACAUGUUAGAUGCUUGAAAGAUGCAAAUGCAUCACUAGUAGAUGGACCUGCGUUGUAUUAGCUAGUUGGUGGGGUAACGGCCUACCAAGGCGACGAUACAUAGCCGACCUGAGAGGGUGAUCGGCCACACUGGGACUGAGACACGGCCCAGACUCCUACGGGAGGCAGCAGUAGGGAAUCUUCGGCAAUGGGGGCAACCCUGACCGAGCAACGCCGCGUGAGUGAAGAAGGUUUUCGGAUCGUAAAGCUCUGUUGUAAGAGAAGAACGUGUGUGAGAGUGGAAAGUUCACACAGUGACGGUAACUUACCAGAAAGGGACGGCUAACUACGUGCCAGCAGCCGCGGUAAUACGUAGGUCCCGAGCGUUGUCCGGAUUUAUUGGGCGUAAAGCGAGCGCAGGCGGUUUAAUAAGUCUGAAGUUAAAGGCAGUGGCUUAACCAUUGUUCGCUUUGGAAACUGUUAAACUUGAGUGCAGAAGGGGAGAGUGGAAUUCCAUGUGUAGCGGUGAAAUGCGUAGAUAUAUGGAGGAACACCGGUGGCGAAAGCGGCUCUCUGGUCUGUAACUGACG